rnacentral:lncRNA from 1 species
CAAUCCCCUUUUCUUCACACCUUCCUCCACUCCCACCUCCACCCAUCAUGCCAACCACCUCCAUCUCCAUCUCCAUUUCCAUCUCCACCUCCACCUCUUCUUGUCUCUCUCCUCCACCACCACCACCACUACUUUGCUAUCCUGCGCUUCCUUAUUCUACGUCCCCAACCCCAUGUCCGCUCCUGCUCGCAAGUUUCCGGCGCCCUGCUGGACCCACGACGAAACCGUAGCCCUCAUCGACGCCUACCGUGAAAAAUGGUACUCUCUCCGCCGCGGCAACC